GUUGCAUCCUGCACAGGGAUUGAGCCUGCAACCGAGGUGGCAAUUAAUGACUUGGAGAGGAAAAAAAAAUCUACCCUCUUCCCCCCACCCCCCAUCUCCUCCACCCUGAAAGAUACGUGCAUUUUCUCUGCCUUAAGGUAAGAAUUCUCUUAAGGAUAAUCUUCUCUUUCCUACUUUGUUUUGCCCUAGUGAAUUUACAUUCACCUUUUCCUUUAAUUGUUAAGAAUAAUACAUACAAAUCCAACGCAGGCUGCUAGAGCUAGAGAAGAACAGAUCGUAUCUUUUAAAGAGGGUGGUUUCCAAGCAGAGUGUAUGUUCAUGAGUGAUAUAGAGUAGGAAGUUGCUAUAAUUUCCCUGCAAGAUUUUUUUUUUUCAAUUUUAGUAAAGAAAAAUUUCCUGUGAAAGGAAUUACAACGGGCCCACACUAACAUUAUGCCAAGUGUAGUAUAAUUAAAUAUAAAACAAAAAUGAAGAAAAAAAGUACUUUUAAAGACAUAAAAGCAAUUUCAAUGGGGUGAAAUUGCUCUUUCAAAAAGUGAACUGGAGGGAAAACAAUAGAACAAUUGUUCACUGUAGUCACAGAGUGGCACAAUAUAAAGAACAAUUUUUUUUCAGACAACAUAUCCAGAUAUAUCUAUUCCUAGGGAAAUUAUUUAAAGACUACACAUAGUUGUUGGGUUUUUUGUAUUUAUAGGUCUAGUGAAUCUGUUCUAUAUCCUUUUAAAAUAUGUUGAAUUGUGUACUUUGCUUUUUGUGACUUUCUUUACCAAAAGAAUAUAUGUAAUGAGAAUUUGUUUCGUAUAAAGUUCAAAAUAUCAAAAUCCCUGUUCAAAGAAGACUCUCAGUUUGAGUCUUAAACCAAAAAGACUCUCCCUAGGCUGAACUUAAUGAAGCCUAACACCAAAAAGAAAAGCUGUUUCUGGCAUUCUAGGCCUUCCCUGCAUCCAGAUGGCCUGUCUGUAGCCUAGCCAGAACCAAACCCUUCCUGCUGCCUUUUCAAGCUGGCCUUGGAUGACAGCCCCAGGCUACACCAGCUUCCAUACCCCCUUAACUCUUCAGUGUCCAAAAUUUUUAAGAAGAUAUGGGACUUCCAAUGUGAAUUUUGUUGAAAGGGUAAAUCAAGUUUUAAGCUUGAAGUUUAGUUUAUAAAAUAUUUAUCCACACCACCUCUCCCUUCCCCUCCCCUCCCAUAGGCUUUCUCCCAAAGUAGCUCAGUCAGCCAAUUGGCAUCAGAGGAGCACCGUUUGGAAGGGAGUGUGUGUGGGCAGCUUGCAGGUGAGAACAGGGCUGCCAAGGCAGACCAUGCGGUUUGUCCUGUGCCUACACCCAAUACCUGACUUGUGCCUUUCCAGAGCAUUUGUAUACACACAGCAGAACUGCUGUUCAAGGUGUGGAUAAUUUUUAAAAAUAUUUUUUAAAAUAACUCAUUGACAAGAUUUUGAUUCAGCAAAAGAGAAUGUACAUGGGAGAUAUAAAAUGACCAUGCAUGGAAUUAAAUGAGAACUUCUCUGAAGUAGUUGUGCCAGAAAAAUAAAUCUGUAUGUUUUAA